rnacentral:sRNA from 1 species
AGCAUUUCUCCUUUCACGAUAAAGUACAGGAUCCUUUCUGGAAUGGAGGUCUUAUGAGCUGCUAUCGAACAAGGUAGCACUACAGGACGUCGGGACUGGGCACUUCCUUCCAACAUGGCCGCCACUGCCUCUCCGCAGCCACUCACCACUGAGGAUGCCGGUUCUGAGAACAGCAGCUUCUACUACUAUGACUACCUGGAUGAGGUGGCCUUCAUGCUCUGCAGGAAGGAUGCUGUGGUGUCCUUUGGCAAAGUCUUCCUCCCAGUCUUCUAUAGCAUGAUUUUUGUGUUGGGCCUGAGCGGGAACCUCCUUCUUCUCAUGGUCUUGCUCCGUUACGUGCCUCGCAGGCGGAUGGUUGAGAUCUAUCUGCUGAAUCUGGCCAUCUCCAACCUUCUGUUUCUGGUGACACUGCCCUUCUGGGGCAUCUCUGUGGCCUGGCAUUGGGUCUUUGGGAGUUUCUUGUGCAAGAUGGCAGUGGAGAACUACUGAGGACUUCUGAGCAGAGAAGUUGGUGGAACAGGAAGCACCAACAAUCCAUCUCAUCACCUAGAGAGCAUUGUACUGGCAGAACUAU